rnacentral:rRNA from 1 species
UACGUAGGGUGCAAGCGUUGUCCGGAAUUAUUGGGCGUAAAGGGCUCGUAGGCGGUCCAUCGCGUCGGGAGUGAAAAGCUGGGGCUUAACCCCAGUCCUGCUUUCGAUACGGGUGGACUAGAGGUAGGUAGGGGAGAUCGGAAUUCCUGGUGUAGCGGUGAAAUGCGCAGAUAUCGCUUGGAACGCCGAAGGUGAAAACAGGUCGACUGGGGAUGUGCCGACGGCUGAGACACGAAAGCCAGGGGAGCAAACGGGGA